rnacentral:rRNA from 1 species
AGGUAACGUCAAUCCGCAAGGGUAUUAUCCUUACAGCCUUCCUCCCUACUGAAAGUGCUUUACAACCCGAAAGCCUUCUUCACACACGCGGCAUGGCUGGAUCAGGGUUGCCCCCAUUGUCCAAUAUUCCCGA